CAGAGGGUGUCAUAACAGUACUAGGAAC
rnacentral:sRNA from 1 species